rnacentral:lncRNA from 1 species
CAGCAUUUUCUCUUUAUAACAGGAGUUUGAGGAACUAGUAACAUUUUGACGUGUCCUAUAAGGUUCUCAUCAGAUGUAUGAAAUUUCAGGCUAUAAAGAUCAUUACAGACAAAUUUUACAGAAUUAUUACAAUUUAGGGACGCCUGGAUGGCUCAGCAGUUAAGCUCUGCUUUUGGCUCAGGGCGGGAUCCUGGAGUUCAGGGGUCCAGUCCCACAUUGGGUUCCCUGAGGGGAGCCUGCUUCUCUCUCUGCCUAUGUCUCUGCCUCUCUCUAUGUCUCUCAUGAAUAAAUAAAAUCUUAAAAAAAAGAAUUACAGUUUAUGCUUCACAGGCACACAUACACACACAGUUCUUAGUUUAACACAAUGAAAUUUACUUGACACUUUCUAAUAGUACAUUGUAUAUAUUCCUGGUCAGCUUGUGGUCUUCCUUGUGAUGAUUCAGUGACUCGAAAUGUUUCUAUCUUGUGACGCUCCAUCCACUCUAAGACCUAAAGACUCCUCUACCUAUGGCUGGCCGAUGAAGAAAAAGAACAAGAGGCAUACUGUCCCUGUCUACAGGACAAUAGAACUUCUUACAAGACAACUUACACUCUCAGAAAUGCAAACAUCGCUGCUCUACCCCAUUCUUUUGGGAAAGCAAGACACAAGAUCAGCUCAGCUUCAGUAUGAGGGGUUCAUUAGGAGAGCAUGGACACUGGGAGGCGUAUCCAUGAGGACCAUCUUUAGUAAAUAGCUACCACAUGCUACGUGAUUGGAGCGGUAUCUUCAGUGCUCUAGGAUUUUAAUUGUUCGAAAAUUUGCAAUCCCGCUAUGGCAGGUAUAUAGUCACUAUAUCUCAUGAGGGACACUGUGGUUUCUAUUGUCAAGGAUGCUAAUUUUACCAGAACACUCAA